rnacentral:rRNA from 1 species
GGGCAAGCGUUAUCCGGUUUUACUGGGUGUAAAGGGGGCGCAGACGGCAGCGCAAGCCAGGAGUGAAAGCCCGGGGCCCAACCCCGGGACUGCUCUUGGAACUGCGCGGCUGGAGUGCAGGAGGGGCAGGCGGAAUUCCUGGUGUAGCGGUGAAAUGCGUAGAUAUCAGGAGAAACACCGGUGGCGAAGGCGGCCUGCUGGACUGCGACUGACGUUGAGGCCCGAAAGCGUGGGGAGCAAACA